rnacentral:rRNA from 1 species
GACGAACGCUGGCGGCGUGCCUAAUACAUGCAAGUCGAACGCUUCUUUCCUCCCGAGUGCUUGCACUCAAUUGGAAAGAGGAGUGGCGGACGGGUGAGUAACACGUGGGUAACCUACCCAUCAGAGGGGGAUAACACUUGGAAACAGGUGCUAAUACCGCAUAACAGUUUAUGCCGCAUGGCAUAAGAGUGAAAGGCGCUUUCGGGUGUCGCUGAUGGAUGGACCCGCGGUGCAUUAGCUAGUUGGUGAGGUAACGGCUCACCAAGGCCACGAUGCAUAGCCGACCUGAGAGGGUGAUCGGCCACACUGGGACUGAGACACGGCCCAGACUCCUACGGGAGGCAGCAGUAGGGAAUCUUCGGCAAUGGACGAAAGUCUGACCGAGCAACGCCGCGUGAGUGAAGAAGGUUUUCGGAUCGUAAAACUCUGUUGUUAGAGAAGAACAAGGACGUUAGUAACUGAACGUCCCCUGACGGUAACUAACCAGAAAGCCACGGCUAACUACGUG